GACAGAGGGUGCAAACGUUGUUCGGAUUUACUGGGCGUAAAGCGCGCGUAGGCGGCUUCGCAAGUUGGAUGUGAAAUCCCACGGCUCAACCGUGGACGUGCAUCCAAAACUGCGUCGCUGGAGUCUCGGAGAGGAAGGUGGAAUGCUUGGUGUAGAGGUGAAAUUCGUAGAUAUCAAGCAGAACACCUGCGGCGAAGACGGGUUGCUGGGCCAACACUGACGCUGAGGCGCGAAAGCCAGGGGAGCAAACGGG
rnacentral:rRNA from 1 species